UGUGUGGGCGCUCUACUUGCAGGAAAUUGUCAGAGCUCAGGGAUUUCAGUUUUCCCUGAGAAUGGCUCCCUGAUGCAUAGGAAAUAAGUGCUCCUCGAGAUUCUAAAGACAGAGGCGCGUCCAGCAUGUCCCGUGUGUGGAUAUGUUUGAGUCUGCUCUGCGCUGCCACCCACUCUCUACAAAGCAAUGCUCCGCCAGCAGUGAAUAUGAGGUGCAACGAAACAGUGGAAGUGGAAGCUGGAAAACCUUUGACAGUAUACUGUACUGUAAAUUAUAUUGACCAGCCAGUCUGUAGAAUUACACAGGCACAGCUGAACACAAAUAGCAACGUAACAUAUGACUAUGAAAUUAAAAGUAACACUUCUGUGUUGCUGAAUGUCUCAAAUGUCACGAAAGACAAUAACUGGACUGUGGAGGUAGAAACAGACUGUGGUUCUACCAACUUAGUC